UACGGAGGAUCCGAGCGUUAUCCGGAUUUAUUGGGUUUAAAGGGUGCGCAGGCGGGAGAUUAAGUCGGCGGUGAAAUUUUGCAGCUCAACUGUAAAAGUGCCUUCGAAACUGGUUUCCUUGAGUGUGGAUGAAGUAGGCGGAAUUUGUGGUGUAGCGGUGAAAUGCGUAGAUAUUACGAGGAACUCCGAUUGCGCAGGCAGCUUACUAAACUAUUACUGACGCUCAUGCACGAAGGUGUGGGGAUCAAACAGGAUUAGAUAUCCGUGUAGU
rnacentral:rRNA from 1 species